rnacentral:rRNA from 1 species
GACGAACUGUCCUAACGUUGUUCGGAAUCACUGGGCUUAAAGGGCGCGUAGGCGGUCCGACAAGUCAGGGGUGAAAUCCUGCAGCUUAACUGCAGAAGUGCCUCUGAUACUGUCGGUCUGGAGGGAGAUAGGGGUGUGCGGAACUUCCAGUGGAGCGGUGAAAUGCGUUGAUAUUGGAAGGAACGCCGGAGGCGAAAGCGGCGCACUGGAUCUCUUCUGACGCUGAGGCGCGAAAAGCUAGGGGAGCAAACAGGG